CCUACGGGUGGCAGCAGUGAGGAAUAUUGGUCAAUGGUCGAGAGUCUGAACCAGCCAAGCCGCGUGAAGGAUGAAUGUCCUAUGGGUUGUAAACUUCUUUUAUAUGGGAAUAAAAUGUUCCACGUGUGGGCUUUUGUAUGUACCAUAUGAAUAAGGAUCGGCUAACUCCGUGCCAGCAGCCGCGGUAAUACGGAGGAUCCGAGCGUUAUCCGGAUUUAUUGGGUUUAAAGGGUGCGUAGGUGGGUUGUUAAGUCAGUUGUGAAAGUUUGCGGCUCAACCGUAAAAUUGCAGUUGAAACUGGCAGUCUUGAGUACAGUAGAGGUAGGCGGAAUUCGUGGUGUAGCGGUGAAAUGCUUAGAUAUCACGAAGAACUCCGAUUGCGAAGGCAGCUCACUGGACUGCAACUGACACUGAGGCUCGAAAGUGUGGGUAUCAAACAGGAUUAGAUACCCGAGUAGUC
rnacentral:rRNA from 1 species